UACAGAGGGUGCUAGCGUUGUUCGGAAUCACUGGGCUUAAAGCGUGUGUAGGCGGGCCCGUAAGUGUCUUGUGAAAUCCCACGGCUCAACCGUGGAACUGCUGGGCAUACUGCGGGUCUUGGGCCAACUAGGGGCAGCCGGAACAAGCGGUGGAGCGGUGAAAUGCGUAGAUAUCGCUUGGAACGCCGAAGGUGAAAACAGGCUGCUGGGGUUGCGCCGACGCUGAGACACGAAAGCCAGGGGAGCAAACGGG
rnacentral:rRNA from 1 species